CCGGAGGACCGAGUGCCGCUC
rnacentral:siRNA from 1 species